CUUAACUGAGGAAGGGCGUAUGAUACUGGCGAGCUAGAGUGCGGAAGAGGGGGGUGAAAUUCCAGGUGUAGCGGUGAAAUGCGUAGAUAUCUGGAGGAACACCGGUGGCGAAGGCGACCCCCUGGUCCGACACUGACGCUGAGACGCGAAAGCGUGGGUAGCAAACAGGAUUAGAUACCCUGGUAGUCCACGCCGUAAACGAUGGGCACUAGGUGUCUGGGGUAUUGACCCCCUGGGUGCCGCAGCUAACGCAUUAAGUGCCCCGCCUGGGGAGUACGAUCGCAAGGUUAAAACUCAAAGGAAUUGACGGGGGCCCGCACAAGCGGUGGAGCAUGUGGUUCAAUUCGACGCAACGCGAAAAACCUUACCUGGGCUAGACAACGGUGGCCAACCCUAGAAAUAGGGUCUUCCCUUCGGGGACUG
rnacentral:rRNA from 1 species